rnacentral:lncRNA from 1 species
GGGAGGAGGAUGGACUGUCACAGACAGAGCCUGGAUUACUUUUGGACAUUGUGAUUCUCAAGCUACCUGAGGGACAUCUGAAUCAUCAGGCUACAUCUGAAAGAGGAGAGUGUUUCCACGGUCGCCUCUACAGUAAAAUUACUUUCACCAAUAACAGAGAUAGACCUCACUGUGUAGCCAAGGAUGACCUUGAACUUCUCAUUCUCCAGCUCCCAACUUCCACAUGCUAGGACACGGGCAUGUGUCACUGUACCUGUUUUAUGCAGUACUAGGCACUAGUCAG